CAGUUAUUGGUAAUAUGAAUAAACAUCAAAGCAUGGACAACUCUUUGCUCAGAUGCUUCUUUAAGCAUAUUGCAACCAUUUGGUCUCUAAGUCAUGUGGGUUCACCUAACAGUUAUUGCCCACACUCUUUGUUAAGUCAGACCCACCGUUCACGAGUAGGUGCAAAGCUAUCAUUUGGUCCCUCACCUAACAGUUAUUGGGCCCAACCCCAUCUCUACCCUGGAGCAAUUCUUUGUUAAUAGAGUGGUUGUGUGUUCUUGAUGCAACUGAACCAUUGUGAUCAGUCGAAAACAAUCAACGCCGGUAGUACG
rnacentral:lncRNA from 1 species